rfam:Daphnia pulex DAPPTscaffold_888_Cont11355, whole genome shotgun sequence.
GUAUUCCAUACGGAAUACAUAUACUAAAAUUGGAACGAUACAGAGAAGAUUAGCAUGGCCCCUGCGCAAGGAUGACACGCAAAAUCGUGAAGCGUUCCACAUUUUU